rnacentral:lncRNA from 1 species
CCACCUGCCGAGCACGCCAGAACCACCUGCUCGACUCGCCAGAAACACCUGCCAGACACGCCAAAAUCACGUGCCGGGCAUGGCGGAACCACCUCUCAGAGGUGCCAGAACCACAUGCCAGAGACUCCGGAAUCACCUGCCGGGCAUGCCAGAACCAUCUCUCAGAAGUGCCACAACCACGUGCCGGAGAGACCGGAAGCACCUGCCGAGCUCGCCGGAACCACCUGCUGGCCAUGCUGGAACCACCUGCCUGACAGGCCAAAAUCAUAUGCCUGCUACGCCAAAACCACUUGUUGGACACUCCAGAAUCACCUUGCGGGCAUGCCGGAACCUCAUCAUGGACAGACUUCAAACACCUGCCGGACCUGCCUGAACCACCUGCCGAGCACACCGGAAGCACCUGCUCGACUCACCAGAGCCACCUGCCAGACACACCAGAAACACCUGUGGGGUACGCCAGAACCACUUGGAGGACUCUCCGGGAUCACCUGCCGGGCAUGCUGGAACCAACUCUCAGACGUGCCAGAACCAUGUGCCGGACAGACUGGAACCACCUGCCGAGUAUGCCAGGACCUCCUGAUCGACUCCCCAGAACCACCUGCUGGACACGCGGAAAAUCACCUUUCGGAUACGCCAGAACCACUCGGCAGACACUCUGGAACCACCUCCAGGACAGACCGGAACCACCUGCCGGACACGCCGGGACCACCUGCUUGACUUGCCUGAACCACCUGCCAGACACGCCAAAAUCACCAGCCGGCUCCACCACAUCCACUUGUCGGGACACUCCGGAAUCACCUGCUGGGCAUGCUGGAACCACCUCUCAGAGGUGCCACAACUACCUGCCGAGCACGCCGGAACCACCUGAUCCACUCCCCAGAACUACCUGCUGGACAAGCCAAAAUCAACUGCCGGCUAUGCCACAACCAGUUGGUGAACACUUCGGAAUCACCUGUCGGGCUGCUGGAACCACCUGCCGGUCGCGCCAACAUCACCUGCCAGCUACGCCAGAACCACUUGGUGGACACUCCAGAAACACCUGUUGGGCCGGCCGGAACCACCCUCAGACGUGCCAGCACCAUGUCCUUGAGAUGCCGGAACCACACCCCGCACAGACCGAAACCACCUGCCAGACCCACCUGAACCACCUGCCGUGCACUCCGGAACCAGCUGCUCAACUCACCAGAGCCACCUGCCGGACACACCAGAAACACCUGCGGGGUACGCCAGAACCACUUGGCGGACUCUCCGGGAUCACCCGCCGGGCAUGCCGGAUCCACCUCUCAGUCCUGUCAGAACCAUGUACUGGACUCACCAGAACCACCUGCCGAGGAUGCCAGAACCACCUGAUCCACUCCGCAGAACCACCUUCUGGACAUGUCAGAAUCACCUGCCGGCUACACCACAACCACUCGGCAGACACUCCGAAAUCACAUGCCGGGCAUGGCAGAACCACCUCUCAGAUAUGCGACAACGACGUGCCGGACACGCCGGAACCACCUGCAGAGCAUGCAGGAACCACCUGCUCGACUCGCAGGACCCACCGCCGCACACGCAAAAAUCACCUGCUGGCUAUGCCAGAACCACUAGCC